GGGGCAAGGGUCCAUCUGACCACUGAUACCUGGUCUGCAAAGCAUGGUCAGGGCAGGUAUAUCACCUACACUGCGCAUUGGGCAAACCUGCUGACGGCUGCCAAGCAUGGAAUGCAUGGCUCUGCAGAGGAGUUGGUGACACCGCCACGACUUGCAGGCAAGCCUGCUGCCACCUCCUCUACUCCUCCUACUCCAUCCUCUUCCAUAACCUCCUCGGCUGAG